rnacentral:rRNA from 1 species
AUUGAACGCUGGCGGCAUGCCUUACACAUGCAAGUCGAACGGUAACGGGCCUUCGGGUGCCGACGAGUGGCGAACGGGUGAGUAAUGUAUCGGAACGUACCUUUCAGUGGGGGAUAACGUAGCGAAAGUUACGCUAAUACCGCAUAUUCUGUGAGCAGGAAAGCAGGGGAUCGCAAGACCUUGCGCUGAUUGAGCGGCCGAUAUCAGAUUAGCUAGUUGGUGAGGUAAAGGCUCACCAAGGCGACGAUCUGUAGCGGGUCUGAGAGGAUGAUCCGGCACACGGGAACUGAGACACGGUCGAGACUCCUACGGGAGGCAGCAGUGGGGAAUUUUGGACAAUGGGGGCAACCCGGAUCCAGCCAUGCCGCGUGAGUGAAGAAGGCCUUCGGGUUGUAAAGCUCUUUCGGCCGGGAAGAAAUCGUAUCAGCUAAUACCUGGUGCGGAUGACGGUACCGGCAUAAGAAGCACCGGCUAACUACGUGCCAGCCGCCGCCGUAACAC